GAAACUAACUGCAACAUAUCAUUUAAUUAAUACAAUUUAUUAUUCUGGGAGCAAUUAAGAUUCAGAUUAAUGACGUUGUUAAUAUUUUUUUAAAUGGACAUAAUACCUAUAGUACCUACAUAAAUUCUUAUGUAAACUGAUACCGGGUGCUCGGUUAACGUUUUACCACAUAAGUAUAAAUAGCUACGGUAUACAAACCGUAAAUAUUUAUAGGGUGUAUUCGUAUUUUUAUAAUAUUAUUUAUACAAUGUAGGUAUGUAAAUUAUAUUCGAGUUUUAUUUUAUUGUAAGUAAAUUUUGUUGCGUUAUUUAAUACAAAAUAUAUAUAUUAUGAUGU